rnacentral:lncRNA from 1 species
UUACCCAGGCCAGACUUUCCCAUUUGAUCUUUAUGUCUUCUAGGUUCAUAGAGACAAGACUUUCCUCUUGAUAAAAUAGGAGUGAAAUUCCUCAAGUUGAGGGAAGGCUAGAGAUGGAGGUUGAGGUAUGUCUAGAUUCAAAUUAGGUUCAGGAGAUUGGGUGAUUUGAUAGGAUGAUUCCAGAGUUUGGGAGGGAUUGGUUGGAGAGAUAAUGAUAUUGGAGUGUUCUA